AAGUCGAGGGGUAUAGUUCUUCGGAACUAGAGACCGGCGCACGGGUGCGUAACGCGUAUGCAAUCUACCUUUCACAAAGGGAUAGCCCAGAGAAAUUUGGAUUAAUACCUUAUAGUAUAUAUGAAUGGCAUCAUUUAUAUAUUAAAGAUUUAUCGGUGAAAGAUGAGCAUGCGUCCCAUUAGCUAGUUGGUAAGGUAACGGCUUACCAAGGCAACGAUGGGUAGGGGUCCUGAGAGGGAGAUCCCCCACACUGGUACUGAGACACGGACCAGACUCCUACGGGAGGCAGCAGUGAGGAAUAUUGGACAAUGGGCGCAAGCCUGAUCCAGCCAUGCCGCGUGCAGGAUGACGGUCCUAUGGAUUGUAAACUGCUUUUAUACAGGAAGAAACACUUGCUCGUGAGCAAACUUGACGGUACUGUAAGAAUAAGGAUCGGCUAACUCCGUGCCAGCAGCCGCGGUAAUACGGAGGAUCCAAGCGUUAUCCGGAAUCAUUGGGUUUAAAGGGUCCGUAGGCGGUCAGGUAAGUCAGUGGUGAAAGCCCAUCGCUCAACGGUGGAACGGCCAUUGAUACUGUCUGACUUGAAUUAUUAGGAAGUAACUAGAAUAUGUAGUGUAGCGGUGAAAUGCUUAGAGAUUACAUGGAAUACCAAUUGCGAAGGCAGGUUACUACUAAUAUAUUGACGCUGAUGGACGAAAGCGUGGGUAGC
rnacentral:rRNA from 1 species